rnacentral:rRNA from 1 species
UACGAGGGAUGCAAGCGUUAUCCGGAAUUAUUGGGCGUAAAGCGUCCGUAGGCGGUUUCGUAAGUCUGUUGUUAAAAAGUGCAGCUUAACUGCAUAGGGGCAAUGGAAACUGUGAGACUAGAGUGAGAUAGGGGUAAGGGGAAUUCCAGGUGUAGCGGUGAAAUGCGUAGAUAUCUGGAAGAACACCAGCGACGAAAGUGCCUUACUGGGUCUUAACUGACGCUGAUGGACGAAAGCUAGGGGAGCGAAAGGG